AUCAUUUUCCUGCCUGCUCCGUUUCUCUCAUGUCUCCAAGCCUUGAAGAAAAGGCUUUUUCCUUCCUUCCCUCCCAGCCCUGGCCUGAGCCCGGCAGUGUCAGAGCCUGGGCCCGGCAAUGAGAGCGAGGAUGCUGCUGGCGAGGGGCGCGGGCAUGUCGUGUUAAACCCGAUAGCGCUAAUCAGCCACUGGGUCCUGCCAACACGCCCUUCCUCCGGAAGGAAAUUUAAAUCACCUAUUUGCAGGAAACGUGAUUACCAUCUAAAGGAAAAAAACCCUCAGACAUCAGCUAUGCUAAACAGCUGCAGUAUGGAGCUUGGGAAAAACAUUUUGUGAGGAGGAUCACUGAGCUGGAAACAAACUCCAAACUUGCAGAUGUGCAUGGAUACAUCCUCUUUAAAAAGAGUCUUCAAGAUGGUUCCUCUGCCCUGGUCUCAGUGAGGGCAGCACUGCCAUCACUUGAAAACCUUCUCCUGCCAGGGUCACAUGAAACCCCCUGUCCUGCCAGCAGCCCGGGUCACUUAAAACAGAAAUUACACAGCUGUGAAGAAAUGCAAGAGCUGUGAAGCCAGGAAUCCUGAGGUGACUUCUGAGACAAAGAAGAGUUUUUCCCAGAAGUGAAGAAGCAGCAUAUUAGUGUAGAGAGUGUCCCAGAGCUUUGUAAAACACCUUAAUAAUUGCCUCUCCUAUG